rnacentral:tRNA from 1 species
GAUCGAGUGCCCGAGCGGCUAGGGAGCGGUCUGCAACACCGCACACCAGGGUUCGAAUCCCUGCUCGGUCU